GAUCAUGGCUCAGGACGAACGCUGGCGGCGCGCCUAACACAUGCAAGUCGAACGAGAGAGAAGGAGCUUGCUUCUUCGAUCGAGUGGCGAACGGGUGAGUAACGCGUGAGGAACCUGCCUCAAAGAGGGGGACAACAGUUGGAAACGACUGCUAAUACCGCAUAAGCCCACGGGUCGGCAUCGAUCUGAGGUAAGGAAGGUGAGUCCGCCUUUGUUAGAUGGCCGUCCGCGUCCGACUUAGU
rnacentral:rRNA from 1 species